GGGCGGGCCUGGAAAAAGAACCAUUAGUGCUCACUCCAGGCCACAGACUCCGACCGGAACUGACAGCGCGGCCUCCAGGAUUGAAGCCAUCCCUGGCUUGAAGCCUAAGGAGAUUUGCUAGUUUGAGUCCUGGGAGAUGAGAUGGGGAAGAUGGGCCCAAGCUGCAACAUGAAGGUCCAUGAUGAACAGUUGGCAUCUCCUACAGUGCCUGCCACUUGGUAAUGUUCAAUGCAGCCAAGGGAGCUAAGGUAAUGAACAAAACAGAGAAGUUCCUACCCUCCCUGAUGUUCAUUCUAGCAAAUGGAGACAGAUGAUAGAAACUGCACAUCAUUGAGCAAGAGGGACACCAUGGAUAAUGGAAAGAUCUACGGCAAGGCUGGCUGUCUGCCCUGUCUAAGGAGGACGUACUGGACCAUCCUGCUCUGCACAUCCAGAUGUGUCCAUGAAUACAUCCAUAAAACGAUGGCCUGUGGAAUCCUAUAGGAAAAUGAUCCAGAGCCUGGGCGGUCAGAAGGAACAAACACUUGAUUUACAAAAUAAAUCUUCUAUGUUUAUGUUUUAAAGACACACAGAGGAAAAACAUUUUUAAAUUCAUGAUUUCCCCCCCCAGAUUUUAACUAUUGUAAUCUCUUUCUUUCCUGAGCCUUAGGCAUCUUCAUUAUAAACCAAAAGAUAUAACUUGAGAUUUUCCCAGGGUUUAUAUACUCGUUAGAGUUGGAAACAUGAAAAUGGCAAUUUGGGAUGUCUCUUUGGAGUCAAAAACCUUAUAAAAAUAUAAUGUACUUUCUCUC
ensembl:lncRNA LINC01580 long intergenic non-protein coding RNA 1580